UACGUAGGGUGCAAGCGUUGUCCGGAAUUAUUGGGCGUAAAGAGCUCGUAGGCGGUCUGUCGCGUCGAUCGUGAAAACUUGGGGCUUAACCCUGAGCUUGCGGUCGAUACGGGCAUGACUGGAGUUCGGCAGGGGAGACUGGAAUUCCUGGUGUAGCGGUGAAAUGCGCAGAUAUCAGGAGGAACACCGGUGGCGAAGGCGGGUCUCUGGGCCGAUACUGACGCUGAGGAGCGAAAGCGUGGGGGAGCGAACAGG
rnacentral:rRNA from 1 species